rnacentral:rRNA from 1 species
GAUGAACGCUAGCUACAGGCUUAACACAUGCAAGUCGAGGGGUAACGAGAGGAAAGCUUGCUUUCCUUGUCGACGACCGGCGCACGGGUGAGUAACGCGUAUCCAACCUGCCCCCAACUAAGGAAUAACCUUGCGAAAGUAAGACUAAUACCUUAUAAUUUCCUCAGAUGACAUCUGACGAGGAAUAAAGAUUUAUCGGUUGUGGAUGGGGAUGCAUCUGAUUAGCUUGUUGGCGGGGUAACGGGCCACCAAGGCAACGAUCAGUAGGGGUUCUGAGAGGAAGGUCCCCCACAUUGGAACUGAGACACGGUCCAAACUCCUACGGGAGGCAGCAGUGAGGAAUAUUGGUCAAUGGGCGGAAGCCUGAACCAGCCAAGUAGCGUGCAGGAUGACGGCCCUAUGGGUUGUAAACUGCUUUUAUACAGGAAUAAAGUUAGCCACGUGUGGUUAUUUGUAGGUACUGUAUGAAUAAGGACCGGCUAAUUCCGUGCCAGCAGCCGCAGUAACAC